AACGAACGCUGGCGGCAUGCCUAACACAUGCCAGUCGAACGAGACCUUCGGGUCUAGUGGCGCACGGGUGCGUAACGCGUGGGAACCUGCCCUUAGGUUCGGAAUAACUCCCCGAAAGGGGUGCUAAUACCGGAUAAUGUCUUCGGACCAAAGAUUUAUCGCCUUUGGAUGGGCCCGCGUUGGAUUAGCUAGUUGGUAGGGUAAAAGCCUACCAAGGCGACGAUCCAUAGCUGGUCUGAGAGGAUGAUCAGCCACACUGGGACUGAGACACGGCCCAGACUCCUACGGGAGGCAGCAGUGGGGAAUAUUGGACAAUGGGCGAAAGCCUGAUCCAGCAAUGCCGCGUGAGUGAUGAAGGCCUUAGGGUGGUAAAGCUCUUUUACCCGGGAUGAUAAUGACAGUACCGGGAGAAUAAGCUCCGGCUAACUCCGUG
rnacentral:rRNA from 1 species